CUCUCUGCAGACACACCUCUCCUCUCUCUCUCUGCAGACACACCUCUCUCUCUCUGCAGACACACACCUCUCUCUCUCUCUCUCUGCAGACACACACCUCUCUCUCUCUCUGCAGACACACACCUCUCUCUCUCUCUGCAGACACACACACCUCUCUCUCUCUCUCUGCAGACACACACACCUCUCUCUCUCUCUGCAGACACACACCUCUCUCUCUCUCUCUGCAGACACACACACCUCUCUCUCUCUCUGCAGACACACACACCUCUCUCUCUCUCUGCAGACACACACCUCUCUCUCUCUCUCUGCAGACACACACCUCGCUCUCUCUCUAGACACACACUUCUCUCUCUCUCUCUCUGCAGACACACACCUCUCUCUCUCUCUCUGCAGACACACACACCUCUCUCUCUCUCUCUGCAGACACACACACCUCUCUCUCUCUCUGCAGACACACACCUCGCUCUCUCUCUGCAGACACACAUCUCUCUCUCUGCAGACACACACUUCUCUCUCUCUCUCUGCAGACACACACCUCGCUCUCUCUCUGCAGACACACACCUCGCUCUCUCUCUCUGCAGACACACACCUCUCUCUCUCUCUCUCUGCAGACACACACACCUCUCUCUCUCUCUCUCUGCAGACACACACCUCUCUCUCUCUCUCUCUGCAGACACACACCUCUCUCUCUCUCUCUCUGCAGACACACACCUCGCUCUCUCUCUGCAGACACACACUUCUCUCUCUCUCUCUCUGCAGACACACACCUCGCUCUCUCUCUGCAGACACACACCUCGCUCUCUCUCUCUGCAGACACACACCUCUCUCUCUCUCUGCAGACACACACCUCUCUCUCUCUCUCUGCAGACACACACUUCUCUCUCUCUCUCUGCAGACACACACCUCUGUCUCUCUCUCUGCAGACACACCUCUCUCUCUCUGCAGACACACACCUCUCUCUCUCUCUCUCUGCUGACAACACCUCGCUCUCUCUCUGCAGACACAUCUCGCUCUCUCUCUCUGCAGACACACACCUCUCUCUCUCUCUGCAGACACACACCUCUCUCUCUCUCUCUGCAGACACACACUUCUCUCUCUCUCUCUGCAGACACACACCUCUCUCUCUCUGCAGACACACACCUCUCUCUCUCUGCAGACACACACUUCUCUCUCUCUCUCUCUGCAGACACACACCUCGCUCUCUCUCUGCAGACACACACCUCGCUCUCUCUCUCUGCAGACACACACCUCGCUCUCUCUCUCUGCAGACACACACCUCUCUCUCUCUCUCUCUCUGCAGACACACACACCUCUCUCUCUCUCUCUCUCUGCAGACACACACACCUCUCUCUCUCUCUCUGCAGACACACACACCUCUCUCUCUCUCUCUCUGCAGACACACACCUCGCUCUCUCUCUCUGCAGACACACACCUCUCUCUCUCUCUGCAGACACACACCUCUCUCUCUCUCUCUCUCUGCAGACACACACACCUCUCUCUCUCUCUCUCUGCAGACACACACCUCGCUCUCUCUCUGCAGACACACACCUCUCUCUCUCUCUCUGCAGCGGACCUGGCGUCUUGGCGAUUUAA
ensembl:lncRNA